GAUUGUGUUAUUUUUCUUGUGUGUGUUUGGGUCUUUCCUUCUCUUCAUGGUGGCUUUCCCAUAAAAACCCUAGGCUUGAACAAGGGUGUGGAGUUUGUGGUAUUGAUCUUUUGUGUUCUUGAUUCUACAAUCAAGAGAGGUAGCAAAUAGGAUUUCUCUAUGGCACGCGUGGUGACGUGAGGAGUUCUUCAUCAUGGGGUGUAUGGCGUGGGGCAAUCCUAUGGACGAUAAAACGAUCAACGUGGAACGCCAUUUAAAUUAUGUUUUGUUUUAAGGGACUUUUCCUAAAUUAUCAGUGGGACUCUGUUAUUUAACUUAAUUGGUUUUCUUUGAACUUUGCAUAAAAACCUAUGUUUUAUUUUAAACUUAUGGCGCCAACUUGCAUGAUUUUAAAUAAGUCCCCCUGAGACUUUAAUAAUGGAUGGUAUUCUUUUAUAAGCUAUGUUAUGCGAA